rnacentral:rRNA from 1 species
CUCCGGUUGAUCCUGCCGGACCCGACUGCUAUCAGAGUGGGACUAAGCCAUGCGAGUCAACGUAGCAAUACGUGGCAUACGGCUCAGUAACACGUAGUCAACAUGCCCAGGGGACGAGGAUAACCUCGGGAAACUGAGGAUAAACCUCGAUAGGCCAUGAUUUCUGGAAUGAUUCUUGGCUCAAACCUAUAUGGCCCCUGGAUUGGACUGCGGCCGAUCAGGCUGUUGGUGAGGUAAUGGCCCACCAAACCUAUUACCGGUACGGGCUCUGAGAGGAGGAGCCCGGAGAUGGGCACUGAGACAAGGGCCCAGGCCCUAUGGGGCGCAGCAGGCGCGAAACCUCUGCAAUAGGCGAAAGCCUGACAGGGUUACUCUGAGUGAUUUCCGCUAAGGGAAUCUUUUGGCACCUCUAAAAAUGGUGCAGAAUAAGGGGUGGGCAAGUCUGGUGUCAGCCGCCGCGGUAAUACCAGCACCCCGAGUGGUCGGGACGAUUAUUGGGCCUAAAGCAUCCGUAGCCGGUCCUGCAAGUCUUCCGUUAAAUCCAGCUGCUCAACAGAUGGGCUGCGGGAGAUACUACAGGGCUAGGAGGCGGGAGAGGCAAGCGGUACUUUAUGGGUAGGGGUAAAAUCCGCUGAUCCAUAGAAGACCACCAGUGGCGAAGGCGGCUUGCCAGAACGCGCUCGACGGUGAGGGAUGAAAGCUGGGGGAGCAAACCGGAUUAGAUACCCGGGUAGUCCCAGCUGUAAACGAUGCAGACUCGGUGAUGGGUUGGCCUCGCGCCUGCCCAGUGCCGCAGGGAAGCCGUUAAGUCUGCCGCCUGGGGAGUACGGUCGCAAGACUGAAACUUAAAGGAAUUGGCGGGGGAGCA